GACGAACGCUGGCGGCGUGCUUAACACAUGCAAGUCGAACGGAAAGGCCCCUUUGGGGGUACUCGAGUGGCGAACGGGUGCGUAACACGUGAGUAACCUGCCCUUGACUUCGGGAUAACUUCAGGAAACUGGGGCUAAUACCGGAUAGGAAUCCUUGCUGCAUGGUGGGGGUUGGAAAGCUUCGGCGGUUUUGGAUGGACUCGCGGCUUAUCAGCUUGUUGGUGGGGUAGUGGCUUACCAAGGCUUUGACGGGUAGCCGGCCUGAGAGGGCGACCGGCCACAUUGGGGCUGAGAUACGGCCCAGACUCCUACGGGAGGCAGCAGUGGGGAAUAUUGCACAAUGGGCGGAAGCCUGAUGCAGCAACGCCGCGUGCGGGAUGACGGCCUUCGGGUUGUAAACCGCUUUCAGCAGGGGCGAAGCUUGUGGUGACGGUACCUGCAGAAGAAGCACCGGCUAACUACGUG
rnacentral:rRNA from 1 species